rnacentral:rRNA from 1 species
UGUAGAGAAUCUGCCCUGUACUGGGGGACAACAGAGGGAAACUUCUGCUAAUACCCCAUAUGAGCGUACCUGCGAUGGUAUUCUUGAAAGUUCCGGCGGUACAGGAUGAGUCUGCAUCUGAUUAGCUAGUUGGUGGUGUAAUGGACUACCAAGGCGACGAUCAGUAGCUGGUUUGAGAGGAUGAUCAGCCACGAUGGGACUGAGACACGGCCCAUACUCCUACGGGAGGCAGCAG